UAGAACUUGCAUGCUGUUUUGUAGACUAUGAGGACAUAGGUCUCAUCUGUUCCGUGUAUUUAGGAGUCUGUUGCUUUUCUCCUGCUGGUUAUUUUUGGGAAUUUGAUGGAAGAAUUAGAAAAUUAUGGGUAAAUUAUCCAUUAUUCCCUGAAUUUCAACAGCACAAUCUCCAUGCCAAAAUAUCUCUGUGUACGAUAAAGAUAGUAAUGUUUAUACCACGGAGCACCUCACAGGGCAACUCCAAUAAUAUCUGGUCCACUUUACCAGGGUUUGGCAUUAAUUGACUUCCCUAAAUGCUUCUCCACUUGUUCUCUGCCCUUCACAUCCUGUUUUCCUUCUCUUUUAUCUAACGUUUCUCCACUUUCUCUUGUCUUCUCAUGUCUCUUUUACCUUUACCUGUGUUUCAGUCACAAUUUUAUUUGUCAUACAUAUAUUUGUUUCUACCUUUAGCUGCCCUCAGAUAGUAAUGCCGCCCGCAUAAAUCACAGUUAACACCAAAUACCCAUGGUGCUCCAAAUCUUUCACUUAUUACUGUUGACGACUGCUCUCCAUAAAAAGAAGUCAUAAAAAUGUGUAUUUCUAUAUACAAUGGCUGGUUACCAUUUGUUUCAGUAAAUGGAUACUCAUUUAAAACAAGUAACACUUUAGUAGAUUUACCACCAAGGAAAACGUCCAUGUAUUCUUUUUGUAUGUUUUCUUUGGGUAUAUGAAAUUUUAGCAUGCAGCAAAUAUUGCAUCUGCAGCUACUGCAAGCCCUCCCCUUCUUCUCUGGCUCAGACAAGAAAAUGGAAAAAUCUCAGCUGACCAGCCGCGCAUGUACAGGAAGCUAAGCUAGACAGAAGUUAGAUAGUCUGAAGAAUUAUGUCUCAGUUGUCUGAUUGGAGAACUCUUGAAGGGCUACAAAAUUCAAACACUAUCACGGUCGUGAUUAUCAACAUCUGGAUUGUUUAGAUUAGUCAUUGUUGGUCGGUACGAGUAGUGUUUGGAAGACCCACUGCUAACACUGCAGGAGGAUUUGUUUUAGUCCUCAAAAGGCUUCCAGAGCAUUUUUAGUUUCAUGUGGCAAAGUGCACGUCUAAAAUCAUGAAAUUGUGCACCAUAACAUGGGGUCUUUGUAUGGACAACAUAUUAGUACACCCUCUAUCUCUGUAGUGGUUUUGUGAAUUCAUGCAGUUCAUAUAUUUCUGUAAUUUUUCUGUAUUGAUGACCAUGAAUUUGUUUGGCAGAACCUUUGUCUAGAAGUUAUUCUUUUUUCCAUCAUACUUAUUAAAGCAUCCCUGCACGUGGAAUACUGAAAUAGAAGGACAAUUUUGAUUAAGUCCCCCAAGGAAACAUACGUGUUAGGUGUCUGUCUCGCCAGCUGCUUUGGAUUCUGUAACAGUGUGUACCGCCCUGCUGUGCCUUUUUAUUAUGCAAAUAUAGAUGACAUUUUUGAAAAAAAUCAUGUUUGCUGUGGACUUGCUUGUAUAAGUAUUCAUGUGGAUAAAAAAAUAAACUGUAAAAAUACUGAAAACAAGGUGAACAGGACUAUUCACUCAGGACCAAUCAUUAGCUGUCUCUAACGUUAGUUUUUGUAGCUGUUCCCCACAAACCUCAGUAUUAGUAACUCAUAAUUUACGUUAGAUGUUACUAUAAUGGCUCCCAUAUGUACAUUCAGUAUCACAACCCAGGGUUGAGCGUAGGGACAAAAGAUCAGUUUCAACAUACAGUAACACAUUAAGAGGAGAUUCUCCGCAUAGUUGCCAACAUUUGAAAAAAAUAUGUUCAGGGACACUGUGGCAACUACUCACACAGAUGUAAACAGAUACAUGCACAAUAAAACACAUCACAAAUGCACACAUGGAUACACAUGCACGCCAAGGCAAACACACACAGGUACAUACAGUGACACACUGAUACACACAAUAACACACACAGAAACACACAGUGACACAUACAGUGACACAAGCAAUAACACACAAAUAUAAAUAAAGAAAACGUAUUUAUAGCCAAAUUCAGGACAGUUGCCUACUAUAUAGCGAUAGUGUUACUAGCCUACUGGUGCAGUCCCUCUGGUCUUUAUAAAAAUACAGAGGAUUCCCAGGCACCCUAAGUACACCUCUUAACUGGAGACAUUACAGUGAGGAAGCUUUACAUUUUCAUUAUCUAUUCAAAUAUUUGUAAGACACUAGGAGCGUAAAGCAGCCUAAAAAACAAAUUAAAAAGUGUCCCACCUCUUCCCCCCAGCAAAAUGGCAAACUAUGGUGUACUGUACAUGCCAUAUACUCACAUACAUGUAGAAUAAAAUACUAUUAUUGCUACAUAAAGUGUGACAAAAACACAUUUUAACCCCUUAAGGACCAAACUUCUGGAAUAAAAGGGAAUCAUGACAUGUCACACAUCAUGUGUCCUUAAGGGGUUAAAGAAACGCUUUCAAUGCCAUGAUUGCAAGUGGCUUCUGAAGAAUCUGAUGGAAUGUCUAGGGAAGCAGCUUCCUGAAAAUGUAUUAGAAAGUAAGAAAUAAUGUUCAUGGGAGAGUAAAAUGCCACAAUAAAAGUAAGUACAGUUACACCAAGCACCUGUACAAUACAAGGAAGUCUGUAAUGUGUUUUUACAUUACUUAAUCCCUCCUUAUCCCUAUCUGGCUGAUAGAAUGUAGUGAUUCACUCUGACCAACAAAAAGCUGUUGUAGAGUGUGCGCAAAGAGUCACAUAGAGAAAUGGGUUAUUUGGAUACCAAGGUAACAAAAUGGUCAGUUGGGAAUAUAAAAUGGGCAGUGGGUAAGGGUACCUAAAUGAUGGAUUGAAAAUGUGACUAAUAGAUUUAGCAGUGCACUAAUAUACAGCACAGAAUGAGGGAGAGAGGGUAAAAGACAUAGGGAUUAUUGGCAGGGGCUGAGUUACCUACCUAGAAGUUCCUCUGGCAGGUUAGUCACUUCCAGGGCGGCAUGCUUUCUCACAGCAGAACAGGUGGUACUCUCUUCAGCAGCCAUUGUGUGUUAAUAGUAUGCAGACUAUGUAAGAGAGCCUGUGAUUGGCUGAGUAUGUAGUGACUAGUCUAGCCAUGCUCUCAGGGCCGGUGCAAGGAUUCUUGCCGCCCCUUCAUGAAUGCAACUACAUUCCCUCAGAGGUUUAUUCAUUAAACUCUGAAUUACAGUGAAGAGACAUUUAACGAAAGAGGCGCACUGAGUAGACAUUAAAGGGAAGCUAUAGUGCCAGGAAAACAAACUUGUUACCCUGGCACUAUAGCUUCCCCCUCUGUCAAGCGCCCCUACCUCGUGGUGCAAAAGGGGUAAAAAAAAAAAAAACCUUCCAUCACUUACCCUGGUCCAGUGCUGAUGUCCCUCGGUGCUGGCUCAUUUCCACCUUCAUUUUUCAAUGGCCGCAUUAGGAUUUCCCCAUAGGAAAGUAUUAUACAAUGCUUUCCUAUGGGGUCCACUAGAGGUGGCGUUAACCCUGAACGGUAAUCAUUGCAGUUUGCUUAAAAACUACAAUAAUUACUUUUUGCAGGGUUAAGGGCCCUGGGACAGUGCAUCCAAAAACCUCACUGACAUAGAUACAGUGUCACUCUCACUAACACACACACACACACACACACACACACACAGUGUCACUUAUAUACUCUCACUAACACACAGAGUGUCACUUGCACACUCUCACUAACACACACAUUGUCACUUACACACUCUCACUAACACACAGUAUUCCUUACACACUCACUAACACACACAGUUUCACUUACACAUUCUCAUUAACACAGUGUCAUUUACACACUCUCAGUAAAACAUACACACACAUUGUCACUUGCACACUCCGGGGGGCAGCCGGGAUACCAGGUCAUGUCCCGGCUUGCAGGAAGCAGAGUGCUUUGCUCGGGUGCUGGGGUUACCGCACACCCCGUUCCCUGAGCAGGCAAGCAGCCCAGCCCAGCAGGUGAGUGGCUGCGCUGGGGGGGUGGCUAAGGAGCCGCUCGCUCAGCACUCCAGCCCCAGACAGCAGCAGGGCAGCCCGCGCCCCCUGCAGGUCGGCGCCCCAGGCGAAUGCCUUAUUCACCUUAUGGUAGCGUCGGCCCUGCAUGAUGCUCUGCGUAUUGCAAAUAGCUCUUUGCUUUGCUACUGGUUGCUGGGGCUUUACAGAGGACGGUAUUGUCUCCAAAUACAAAAUAUAUGGCUGCUGUCUGUCCUAUGGGCAGCAUGCUGCUCUAAGCAGUAAAUAGGGCUUCUCUGUACCUUGCAGCAGGACUCCAGACACUGCCUACCAGUCUUUCUUGCCGGGACUGUCCCGCAGAAUGAAUUACCCAGGGCAAUCUCCAUCUUGCCGGGACUGUCCUGGCAAAAAACGCGACUGUUGGCAACUUUGGCCCGAUUCUGCCACAUUGCCCUACCAGAACGGGGAGAGUUAGAGUUGUGGCUCCCAUGGAGAGAACUGGAUUUGCCAGUAUCCAAAGUGCAGUUACCUACAGGCAUUUGUCUGCUAGGAGCCCCUACAAAGGUGUAUCUAGAAGCCACCUGGCCCCAGUGCCUAAAUUGCCCUGGCUCCCUUCUCCAUGUAUCUAAUUUCCUCCCUCAGACCCUCCAUAUGUGCUAGCACUCCUGAUUGGUAUAGAAAUCUGAUGGAGGCUGGGAACAUACACGAGACCAGCGUGUCACUCCCGAUGACGAGGCAUCAGCUGGACUGGUAAUUGGUAUUUAUAAACAAGUAGAGUAGAUUUUUCAAGGCAAAAUCAGGGAGAAUGAGCUAAAUAAGUAAUAUUUACUAUGUAAAUCAACAGAAUGUCUCUCAAACAGCACCCGUCUUGCCUUGAUAAACUUCCUCAUACUUUACAACACAGUACAACAUAAGGGCCUCAUUGGAGCAAUAAAAUUGUCAGUUUCCUGUAAAUGAAUUAUUUUUGGGAUAUUGCAUAGGUGCAUACACAUUUCCUGCCUCGUAACUUCUCUUUAUGGAGCUGAUAACAGAAUCCUGGACCUGGUUACACAUGUUAAUAUAUAACCAAAAUGAAAUCUGUUAUGCGUUGAGCAGUUACUCUGAUGUCAUGAAUGGAUUUUUACAGUCCAGAAGGCUCUGAGCGUUUUAAAAUGUAUAAUUACAUUACAGUGACUGUCUAAUGCUUUGACCAUAACAGUUUUCAUCAAAAUAAAGUACCUACUUGUAAGGAAAUUUAGAUGUUAUAAAGCAUCUUGAACUUUUUCAAGGUAGCAUAUUAAGCGCUAGUAUGAAGCUUGAUGUAAUUGCUUUAAGUAAGCAUUUAUUCUAAGUAGGUUAGUGUUGCCCUUGCUACAGGAAGCCUGUAUGCAUCAUUAACUAAACUAAAAGAUCAACAUUUCUUUCUACUGCAUGCCCAGUUCUUGGAUUUAUUUAUUGUACUCACGCAUAAAAGUUAUAAAUUAGAGCUUUAAAUAGUAUUUUUUGCAUCAGAGAACUGAGCAAAAAUAUUGAUGAUAUAUCACACAUUUGCAGCCACUAAUAUUCUUUUCAAUCUACAUUUUUUUUUAAAGAAUCAGUCAUAUCUUGAUAUGUAUAGGGGUGUACGUGUUCCUUGGCUGUUAAUAAAUAAAAUAAUAAAGGGUAUUUGCUUACCUUUUUCCAGCAACCUCUCCUCCUCCCACGCUGUCACGGAGGACCCCAAUCCAAUGCCUGCAUCAAAUUUCCUUAUAGGAGAGCAUUGCAUCAAUUAUUUGUGCACCAGAGAAUCUAUUUCUGAAAGUCCAGAUAAGAUCGCUUGCUAAAAAAAAUAUAUAUAUUUUUUACUUCAUAGGUGCACUGAUAAAUGCCUGGAUACUUGACCUCUAGCACUGCAGAAGGCCCCACGUGGAUGUCCCCUUUUCGUAGACCGCGUACAUUAACCUGAACAUGAAAAGCUUUGACAUGACAACCAUUUAAAAAAGCUCAAGGUCGAAUGUUAUUGUCACAUAAUGUGGAAUAGCAAGAUCUCAGGAACAUGCAGUGACAAUUAUCUCUAGAGACUCUCUCACCAGUUGGCUCGAUAGAGGGCCACAGGACGCAGCUGUACCUGGAUAUCAUGCUUUAAUUCUCGAAGCAAUUAGAUAGUGGACAUGCUAACCAUUGAGGGUGUUAGUCCAUCCACUACCAUAGUACAGAAACUCCAGGGAUGAAUGCUGCUCACCUGGUUACUGACCUACUUGACCUUUUUGGUCAGAAUGUUGAGAGCUACAUAGUAUUUCCUUCUUAAUGUAUAACUGAGGGAGACAUGUAUAUCAGUGUCUAUAGAGAUCGUCUUAAGCCUUGGAGGGUAGAAUUUGCUAGUAUGGGGGGGAGACGCAUGCCUAUUGGCACAUGUCUCCAUUGGGCAUCCAUCUUUUAACUUUAAACAUAUUUUCUAACAGGGGCACUUUAGCAACAUAACCGCUACAGCUUGCCGAAGUAGUUAUGUUGACUAGAGGCUCCAGGCACCAUGUGAAGGUUUAAUGUUAAAUCUUCUAGGAAUGAUUUGACAUAAACCAGGGCUCAUUCCAGUGGCCAGAGGUUGUCCCAUCCGUGGCACAUUAACAUGUUCUCAUGUAACUUUAACAUUUCCACCUUAUCAAUGUCAAUUGUGUCCAAAGGCCAGUGACAGGUAAUGUACUGCAUUGUGAAAAGGGGGCAUUGCUUACUACGUGGACAAUAACCAGCUUAAUGUCCCACCUGCAGGACCUCUUUAAGUUACAGCGAUUGGACACCACAGCCUGCACACAUUUCUUAUUGCCCUGUAAACAGCAAUUACACCAAGUGCCUGCAGGAGCUGGGAAUAUGCAGAAGUUGCAUGUUUUUGCAGAGCUCUGCUGAAUUCACUUAUUAUUUAUUAUUAUUAAUGGCAUUUAUAUAGCACCAGCUUAUUUCAAAGAGUUAUACAGUGCUAGAAAGGGGGAAACGUAACAAUAAAUAUGACAAUUACAAAUUGUUAUAGGAACAAUAUGAGGAUCCUGCUUGAAAGAGCUGACAUUCUAGAGGACUUAAAGCAGGGUGCUCAAGAGGUAGAUCCCCAGAUGUAGAACUAAAACUCCCAUGAUGCCUUACAAGUCUUUAAAAUGUCUGCGAAUGACAAAGCAUAAUGGAAGCUGUAGUUUUAAAACAACUGGGGAUCUACAUUUUGGGAACCCCUGACUUAGAGCUUGUUAUGCCUUGUUUCCACUGAGUGGAACAGGUCGGGUAGGUACAGUUUGGAAGGGUUAGAAUGGUUCAGCCUAUUCAGGUGAGCAUUUCCACUGUAAGUCGGACCGCCAGGGACCAUGCGGGGUUUAGACCAAAUACCUAGCGUGUCAUUUGUCGUGAGCAUUGACGUUUUCCUGUCUGCCAAUCAAUGGAUUGUAUAGUGUGACGCUAGUAGCUCCGCCCUAACCGUACCGUACCAUUUCCUAUGGACCUUCAUCUGAAGGGGGACCAGGAAUGGUGCGGUUCAGUUUGGUUGUAUGGGCCACUUUCAUAAUGGAAACACUCAAAAUAGCGUACCGUACCGACCUGAACCGUUCCGCUCAGUGGAAACGAGGCAUUCGUUUUCUGUUGCUUUACCCUUUAUAACUCUUGAAUGGACAUCUUAAAACUGGAUGUGAAUACAUUCUCCCAGCAGUGUUUGCCUUCUCCCAGUCAGAAAUUGUGGGUGUGUGUUUUGAACAUCCAUAGCAGGUGAUAUACAGACACCAGAUAUACACACCCUUAAAGUGAUAACAGCCUUAGGUGGCCCACUCCAAUCUUUAUAUGUUUAGUUACUCUCAGCACAUGUGUUGUUUGCUAAGUACAUCUAACAAAGGUUAAGUACCUAUAGAGAAAUUAAUCUACUUGCUGCUCUGAAAUAGGUUACCGCUGUAGAGAUUUUUUUCUAAAGCAAAAAUUGAAUGAAAUAAUGUGCCAUUGUAUAAAGUGUGCUACUACACUAAUAAUUAGGAUACCGACAGAUAUAUUAGUAAAUAGAUGAUAUUAAGGUGAGCAUCAUAGCAGAGACAUACAGGAGGAGGAGCUGAGAGACACAGGGUGGGUUACUUUGAUAAUACGAAACAAAAAUAAAUCUUUAAGUUGAGAAUGACACUCAUGAGUCAGUGGUGCUGGUACCUAAGAGUAUUCCCCACACAAUAAUAAACAAACAAGAAAAAUAUUUAUAAGAUACCGCACACACCAUUUAAAAAAACAAAACAAAAAAACAAAAACAAGUUUAUUAUAUGAAGAAUUUUUAUUUUUAUUUUUGAUGUAUGAGUGGAACUUACAUGAUGCAAAUGCAGUCAAAAAUAUUGCCCUGCUGCAAUAUGGGAACUAGAAAAUAUUCAUAAUCAUAGCUCCCACUUAAACCAAUGCUGCUAUUCUUGAUCAGCUCGAAUUUUUUUUUAACUAAAUUAAAUAAAAAAUAAAAAAACAAAGCAGAAGCAAUGAGAUGUCUCUGCUAAACAAAUGGAAUAAAAUAGAAAAAAAUGGUAAAAAGUAAAAAUAAUCUAAAAUAGACUGGGCCAGAAAAAGAUGACGAUCAAAUAAUACUGCAAACAAUCUUGUUAUCAAGAUAUCAGAGAGAAAUAUAACAUAACAAAGGAUAUCAAGUGCUAUAAAUGUGUGAAAGAAAAAAAAUCUAGUGUAAACACCUGUAUCCAAAAACCUAACAUUGCACAAGCCUGUAUUACAGCAUGUCAUCAAAUACUGUGAUACGCAGAGUAUCAAACUGAAAAACAAUCAAUAUUUACAACAAAGCCAAAAAAACGGAGCAUCUAAGGCAGGCUUCCCCAAACUCCGGCCUUGUAGAUGUUGCUGAACUACAACUCAUGAUUCGAUGAAUGAAAUAGAUAGGCUGAGAAUCAUGGGAGUUGUAGUUCAGCACCAUCUGGAGGGCCGCAGUUUGGGAAAGCCUGAUCUAAGGCAAUGCCAAAAUAUUGCACCCAAAGUUCAUGUGACAAAGACCAGCAUAGCUCUCUCCUCAAACUCCUCCUAUUAUUGAAAUGGUAUAAAGUGCAUUCCAGGUCGCAUUCCAGAUGUUCAUUGUGUUCAUUUUCCUUAGCGAACAAAAACAAAACAAGUACAUGGCAGUCAACCAAACCUACACCUGUUGUCAUAUUUCGCAUUCAGACUAUUUCCUACAACAAGAUACUUUAUGGUGUUUCCAGUAGAAAAUAACUGUUAAUCGAAGACAGGACGUGUGAGUGGGUCCUGGAACAUAAAAACUCACAGACACACAUAAAAAAAUAAACAAAACAAAUAAUUUAUCCUUUAUGGUAUUUUUAACACUAUCUUUGCCAUAAUGGUUAGAUUUUCAAUCUAGGAACUCAAUGAGACAGGAAAUAAAAUUCAAAUAUUCAAAAGCACCAGGCACAAAAGAACAUAUAACCUUCACCUGCCAUGGGUGAAGACCACAAUUUUUCUUGCAGUAGUAGUGGGCGCUACAGAACACCCCUUUCGAACUGGCGUUGCAGGUAAAAGUCUCAACUGGCUGCAUCCAUUAACUUCAACAAACUGUAACAAUAUUAAUAAAAAAUAAAAUUACCUUUUUAACAUUUUGCUCAUAUAAUAUUUUUUAAAUAUCAAGUGCAAUUACAGAAAAAUAAGUUAAAUAGAUUUAUGUAUCAGUGCUAAUUGUAACAUGCUUCAUACUUCUAGGAUCUAAAUAUAUUUUGUAGUAAAUGCUAAACCUAUAACUACCCUAGUGAUAUGCUUUCUCUAAAUCUAACCGUACACCACCCACAUCUUACCCCUAACCAAAACCCUACAUUAUCCUUAACCUUAAAAUGGAAUUAACUCUAACCAAACAUUAACCCUUAUCUUACCCUAACCAAACACUAACCCUACUCCUAACCUUAAAGGGACACUAUAGUCCCCAUAACAAUUUUAGCUCAAUUAAGCAGUUUUGGUGUAUAGCCUCACUGCUCAUAUCUCUGCCAUUUAGGAGAUAAAUCACUUUUGCUUCUGUUUAUGCAGCCCUAGCCACAUCUCCCCUGUCUGUGACUGACACAGCUUGCAUGAAAAGUAAUGGUUUCACUUUCAAUCAGAUGUAACCUACUUUAAAAGUUUUUAUCUCCUGCUCUGUAUAUUUAACUUUAUUCAUACACAGUAGGCUCCUGUUGGGUCUAGCAAGCUAUUAACAGAGCAGGAGAUAAGAAAUACAAAAUUAAACAUAAUUUGCAAUAAAGGAAGUUUAAACAUUAGAUUACUUUUUACAGGAAGUGUUUAGGAAGGCUGUACAAGUCACAUGCAGGGAGGUGUGAUUAGGGCUGCAGAAACAAAGUGAUUUAACUCCUAAAUGACAGAUAUUUUUUUAAUAAUAAAGCAGUGAGACUGCAAGGGCAUAAUAUAUACACCAAAACUGCUUCAUUAAGCUAAAGUUGUUUUGGUUACUAUAGUGCCCCUUUAAGGGGUUCUCUAUGAUAAUAUGAGUACUGAUAUCAGCAGAUGAAUUUAAAAACUAAAACAGUAGAGAGCAGUCUGUGACCGCCAUCUACUGGCUGGUUGCAGCAUUACAGGAAAUCUCCCUCUCAUGCUGUAGAUCGCACAUGAUGUCUGUGCCAAUUACACUAUGAUUGGUGGUGGGCAGCUGGAAAAGUCCAGAAUCACAAUCGGUAUGGGGUAUGCAGGGAGAUGCUGUUAUGAUCUUUUCAAGAGAUCUCCCCCGCAUAGCGUGUAGCAUGAGAAGCACCGCAGCUAAGUCUGAUCACUCAUCCACAAGGAUUUAAAUGGAUUUAAAAGGCUGUAUGCAGCGUUCAUUUUGAGCUCUGAAAACAGCUCAUAAUGCAGUCUGUUGCCAUUAAAAAUUGUCCAGCUGGCAGAGCUUGCACCAGAACGUUAGGACAUGCCAUCACGUCCUAACGACAUUAAAGCCCAGGUUUAACAUCAUUAAGGAAAUAAGCAAGUCAUAAAAUCAUUUUUCUUUGCCUGCCAGAUACCCAUGCAUCAACAGUAGAACAAACAAAAUAGUGUGAUUUUUACACUUUAUCGUAUCAAUAGUGUACGACAUUAAAUUUGUUUUGUGAAUAAUGUCUGAAGGACAUGGGGGCAGUCUGUAAAUGUUGCAUUUCAAAUACUUGCUAUAUUAUCCUACAGCUCUGCAGAAUAUGUUGGCAAUUCCAAAUAAUAAUGAUAAGAGAAGCCAAUUGGUAAAGAGUGUGGACACAACUUUUUAAAACAGUUGACUGAAAAAAGGCUGGUAGUGAGUGCCUUCGGUACCAUCUGGUCUUUUCAGUAUUAUUCUUUUUAAAGUCACUUAUGAAGUAUAUUUGCUAAUUCACUUACUAUGCCUGUAUUCAGGGAAAAAGGUUUUACAGAUUCGUAGCCAGUAUUCAUCGCAGCUACAAUGGAGCAGGAGAACCUUCUUUUAAAUGGAUUUAAAUAGCAAAUCCACCAUACAAUACACUCAGAAAAUAAAAGAGCUACUGAAUAUAUAUAUAAAAAGCAGAACAAAGUUCAGAAAAUGCUUACCCGAACUGUGUGAUUUGGCAAUUUAUUCCUUAUUUCUCAUUUAAUGUAAUCAAUAAUGAUCCCAUCUGAAUAAAAAAGUAAAUGACAAUCUCACAAUAAAUAUUUAUCAGCAUGUUAAUGGCUGUCGAUGAAUUGUUAAAGGACCACUAAAUUCACCCAGGCCACUUCUUCUCAAUGAAAUAGUCUGGCUGCAGUGCCCCUGUCAUUGUAACCCUUGAAGUUAAAACAUGUUUUGUAGAAAUGGCAAUUGUCUGAGUGAAACUCGACCAUGUGACAUUUGAAGUUACAUGUCAUCAACUGCAUCUUACUGAAAAGCAUUGAAUUCAAUAAUUCAAUUCUUUCCUUUGUGAAAGCUUGAUUGCACGCCCAGAUCUCCUCGUGCAUGCUGUUUAGGUCCAUUGCCGGAAAAAAAACAUUCCUCCUCAAUGAAGUUGCAGAAGAAGAGGUGAGCAGCACAAAGGGAGUGUUGGUGCUGAAAAGGAAAGCAAAAACCUAUUUUGUAAAUUAAUUUUAUGCCAAACGGGGUGGGGGAGUAUUAAACUAGAUAGGGAAAGUGAUAUAAUGUUCCUUUUAACAAUGUUGAAGCAAUUCCAAUGUCACCAAUCCUUAUCUUUAUGACAACGUUUCUAUUGUUAUGGAUGCCUCCAUCCCUGGAACUCGUGGAGGGGCUUGGAGGACGACUUUCUCCUGACAAACUAUGGACCCUGUCCCAGAGUCUUCUAAUAAUUUACAAAAUAGCUAUUGUCAAUAUAGGGAGAGCAUAUAAGAAGGCACCAAGUUCUUAUACUACCCACUUGCUGAAACUGGGUGAACUCUGGGGAUGCCUGGACCGAGACCAUCAAUCACAGUGUUCUUUGAAUAUGAUGUUGGGGAGGUAAGAGAUACUCGAGAUUGGGGGUUGCUACCUUGCUAAGGACUCUGGGAACCACUUGAAACAAGACCAGCAGAAACCACUAAAGCGUGUGGAACUCUGUGCCAGAUCGGAAGAUAGUUAUGAACUGAUGGAAACUUAAAAUAUUGUCACUUGGGCUGGGUAUCUCUGAUGUGGGUGCUUUUUGCACAUAUGAGAGCGUAGGGGACAUGCUAUCUGUUUUAUGGGGAAUUUUUUGGCUAAGGAAGUUUUGGGGUUCAGAUACAACAGAGAGGAAAUAGUGUUAUCUUUUAACUGACCUUAUUAACUCUAUUCAGUACAGACAGACUGGCGCCAGGGAAGGAACUAUAUUGUAUUAUAUGAAUCCCCUUCUGUAGGUUCAGUAUAAUUGUCUGUAUAUAAAUAUGUGUGAGUUGGUUAAAUAAAUUCCCACUGUUUCACACUUCAUUAAGUCUUGGCUGAUGUUUGGGUGAGCUGCUAUUACUGCUCUGAGUAUCCGGGUUUAAAAGGAUGGAGGUUGAUGGAGAUACUCAGAUUGAGCUAAAAAUGGUGUUAUACCUUACGUGUCAGCGAACACCAUCCUGCCAAGAAUGUUAUUCUCACAUUAAUAGAACCAUCAGAAAGGUAAAUUCAAAAUCUAAAACGACUUGAUACGUCACACUGAAAAUACGUCUAACAUUUAACCAAUACCCCAUAACAUAUCUAAAAGUUUGCACAUGAGCAAAAUGAACGCCACAAACACCAAACCCCGACUUAAUAACAUCUGUAAGUACCAUUAACUAGAGAUCCAUCUUUGUAUAAUUAGAUCAGAGUACAAAUAAGCAAUGUGACUAAAAUAUAACAUAGCAAAAUCAAUAACAUAACAGUAAAUGAUGUGCAUAAUACCAAAUAUGUCAAUUUCCAGGUAACUAUAAUUUCUUUUAACCUUGUUUUAAGAGAUGCUCCUUUUUACUUUGAAAUUUAUAUAAAAUACUUAGCAAAUUACACGAUAAUCCAGUUAGAACAUUACGUCAUAAUCCAGUUCAGACAAGGCAAAGUCAGGGCAAACAGUGCAAAUGAAGAGGAGAUAUUGAAACGUUGUUAAAUUUCUUGUAUCUUUAUAUGCUAUCUCAAUGCUGACUGUCAGGUGCAAAAGACUGAAAUGAAAUGCAUGAUUGUCAGAGAGCUAAAAUGAAGGCGCCCAGUUACAGGUAAAGAGGUGUGGUUUUCUAUAUUUAAUUUAGAUUUUUGCACCUCACAAAUACGUAGCUGUCAAAAAUAGACAUAAGUAAACAUAACAUUAAAAAUAGUUACAAUUACGGACUGCAAUGUCCAUAUGGAACAUACUAGACCUAUCUGUAAGCUUCUUUUGUGAUGUCAUAGAAAGCAUGCAAAUGUGUCAUGCAUGCAAAUUUCUUUACAUGUUCACAUCACAUGGUGCUAUCAUAGACAGACAUUUGAUAUGACUGUUUUUUAAAUACAGGGUUUUAUUCAUUAAUCUACGAGUCGAGAAGAUCUGGAAACUUACAGGAACAACCAAUUUUAGGGGAAUAUUUUUCUUUUUUUUUUUUAAACAUUCUUUAUUUGUUGUUUUCCGGAGUGGAAAAAGGAAACAUUAGGGUACAGAAUUGAAGGAGGGAGGGGGUGAUACAGCCACAAUUGUACAGGUGCACAGUAAUUUCACACAUGUGUCUUUGCGCCUCAAGGUGUUGUGAACAAGUAACUGUGUCUUGGUGCGGUCUGUUGGUUAGGCGUUUAACGUGCAGUAGUGUGGGGUUCAGGGAACUCUGUCUUGGUCUUAUUCCCUUUGCCCGGUUCGUUUGGACAAACCUGUGUUGGUGGCCGUAUGAGGUUUGCGAUUUGUCUCGUUAACAGUUUUGUGGUAGGGUGGGAUGCCCUCUUUUUGACUGUUUUUAUUGUCCUCGUUGCGUACUGAUGGGCGCCCAUGUGUCUGGGUGGUCGGUUGGGGGGGGGAUUGAGAACCUAUGUACAAGGGUGGAAGUACCAUGGCGGGACACUGUUUCGGGUGACUGGUAGUCAUCCAGUGGUUCGGGUAGGGGUAGUAUUUUGUACUGUGAGUAUCAGUGCAUUGGUAGUUUGAUUGCUAUGUUAGAAUAGCGGGCCUGGUUGGUGAGAUGGAGGCUGUCCGUGUGCCCUUAUUGUAGGUGGGGAUCAGAUAGCCAGGGGUCCCAGAUUCUGUGGAAGUGCUUGGAGGUCUCAUGAAUUAUGGCUGAUAUCCUAUCCAUGUGUAUUGCUUCCCUGGUUUUGUGUAUGAUUGUUUGCAGUGUGGGGGUGUUUGGCGAUCCCCAUACUUCGGCUAUUGCCCAUCUAGUCGCUAAGGCUAUCCUGUUUGUCAUUUUGUUUUGGGCUCUGGUCAGGUCCUCUCGUGGUCUGGAGAGGAGCCAAGUCCAGGGGUCUAAUGGUAUGGUGGUCUGGAGGAGUGUAACCACUUCCGCCCACAGUGGGGCCAAUUUAGGGCAAUGCCACCAUGUGUGUAUGUAUGUGCCCCUCUGCCCACAGUUUUUCCAGCAUAGGUCCGCGUCUGCCUUGCCCAUAUGGUACAAACGUACCGGGGUUAGGUACCACCGGAGCAGUGUUUUAUACGCUUGCUCCUUGUGGUUAACGCAUAUGGAUAUGGAGGCCGUUGCCUCCCAGAUAUCCUGCCAGUCGGUGGGGUCGCACGGUGGCCCCAAGUCCCUCUCCCAACCCGCCACAUAUGCCGAUGCCCCCUUGGGUUGGUUGGUGAUAAGGAGUGUGUAAUUUUCCGUAAUUUGACCUUUGUGAAGUGGGUUAUGUAGGCAUGUCCUCUCAAACCGUGUGAGCGUGGUGGUGGCAGCUUGGGCGUUGUCGGGUUGUUCUAGGAAGCUUCGCAGUUGUAUGUAGCGAAAGAAAUCGUGGGUGGUAUAUGUUGCCUGCGUGUUAGGAAGGUCGUUGUAUGGGGUAAUUUGAGUUAACGUGUAGAAGUGGUGCAGUCUGGACAGGUCGUUUUGUUCAUAGUGUGCAAAGUCUUUGGGUGUUAACCCUGGGGGGAAUGCUCUAUUGCGUAGUAUUGGCGUCAGUGGUGUCGGGUUGUUUAUGAUGGGGAAUUUCCUGGAAGUUUUGUCCCACAAGUCUAUUGAGUUGGUGAUUGAUGGGGCAGUGGUGGUGGUAGGGGGCGUGAUUUCUUUGGUACCCAUAUGUAGAGGGAUGGAAGGUCGCGUCCAAAUAGGUCAUGUUCCAGGUCCGCCCAUCGUUUGAUCUCCUGUGGGGUGUGCCAGUGUUGGAUCUGUGUGAGCUGUGCGGCGUAGUAGUAGUUUUGGAAAUGGGGUAGUCCCAGUCCUCCCGUCCUAUUGGGGAUGUACAUGGUGCUCCUUUUAAUUCUGGGUCUUUUGUUUGCCCAGAUAAAGUUGUCAAUUAGUUUUUGGACAUAUUUCACGUCUGUUGUGGGGAGUGGGAUGGGGAGGGUUUGGAAUAAGUAGAGGAAGCAGGGUAGGAGAUUCAUCUUUACUGAUGCAAUGCGGCCUAACCAUGAUAGUGAUAGGUCUUGCCAUCUUUUGAGAUCGUCCGUUGCUUUCUGUAUCAUUGGGGUGUAGUUCAGGGCGUAUGUGCGGUGUAGUGCUGCUGGUAGCUGUAUACCUAGGUAUGGGAUGUGGGAUGUGUUGUAGCGAAACCUAUAUGUUUCUAGUAGUGUCUCCUUUGUGUCUUGGUCGAUAUUUAUGCUAAGUGCCUCUGUCUUGUCCAGGUUUAGUUUAUAUCCUGAGGCUGCUGAGUAUUCUUUCACCAGUUGUAGGAGUGGUGGGAGGGAGGUGAGGGGUUCAGUUAGCGUUAGGAGCAGGUCAUCGGCGUACGCCGCCACCUUGUAGGUUUGGGAGCGUACUGUAAUGCCCGUGAUGGUGGCGGUGGUGCGUAUGAGGUGUAGUAGUGGUUCCAAUGAGAGGGAAAAAAGGAUCGGGGACAGUGGACAGCCCUGUCUCGUUCCGUUAUGUAUAGGGAAGUGGGGGGUUGCGCGUUUGGGAUGAGUAAUUUUGCUUUUGGGACAGAGUAGAUCGUUUUGAGGGCUGUCGUGAAUGGUGUUGGGAAUUGGAGUUUCUCUAAGGUGGCGAAGAGGAAGGGCCAUAGUAGUCUAUCAAACGCCUUCUCGGCGUCAAGGGAUAGUAGGAGGGUGGGGAUGUGAUGGUGAUUGGCUACCCAUAUGAGGUCUAAGGUCCGUCUGGUGUUGUCGCUCGCUUGCCUUGUUGGGACGAAUCCGACCUGGUCGGAGUGGAUUGUCGAUGGGAUGUAGGGGAGCAGUCUGUUGGCAAGGAUUUUGGUGAAGAUUUUAAUGUCUACGUUUAGUAGGGAGAUGGGUCUGUAGUGACCUGGUUCCGUGUGCGGUUUGCCGGGUUUGGGUAGUAGGCAAAUGUUUGCCUCCAGCAUGUCCUCGGGCAUCUGAUCUCCAGUCAUGAGCGUAUUAUAUAGCUUUGUCAUGUAGGGUAGCAGGUUGUCUGUGAAUGUUUUGUAGUAGAUGCCCGAGUAUCCGUCCGGGCCUGGGCUUUUGUUGGGUUUCGUGGUGCCUAUUACUCUCCUCACCUCCUCCUCUGUGAUUUCUGUCGAGAGGCAUGUUUGGGCUUCCGUCGUGAGUGUCGGUAAGUGGGCCUUUGCUAGGAGGGUUUGUAUGUUGUCGUGUAGGGGGCCUUCGUCUUGGCGGUGUUGAGGGGAGUGGUCGUAUAGGUCAGUGAAAUACUGCUGGAAGGUCUCGGCUAUUUUACUGGGUAUGUCGGUUGGUUGGCCUGUGGGGGUAUGGAUGGUGGUAAUUUGCUUGGCUUGCUGGGAGCGGGGGUAUGGAUGGUGGUAAUUUGCUUGGCUUGCUGGCGUUUGCGUAGCCUUCGGGCCAGUAGUGUGUCUGCUUUGUUUGAUUUUUCAUAGAACAUUUGUUUUGUCCAUUGUAAAGCUUUAGUUACGUCUUUCGCCAUGGCCUGUUUAAGGGCCUGGCGCUGGUGGUGCAGUUGUGUUGUGAGGUCUUGUGUGGGGGUUAGUUUGUGUUGUGCUUCGAGUUGUCUGAUCUGGUCCAGUAGGGAUGUUAUGUGGGCUAUGUGUUUCUUUUUAUGCGCCGUGGCUAUGCUGAUCAGGGAUCCUCUGAGCACUGUUUUGUGGGCUGCCCAAAGUACCGCGUGUGAUUGCACCGAGUCUUUGUUGGUGUCGAAGUAUUGGGUGAGUUCUGUCUUCAGUUGGGCAACUAUUUGGGGGUCGUGGAGUAGUAUGGGGUUGAGCCUCCAGGUCCAAGGUCUUGAGAUUUGUGGUGGUUGGAGUUGUAGUGUGAUGUCUGCGUGGUCUGACCAAGUGAUGUUGCCUAUUGCGGAAUUUGUGACGUGGGGGAUUAGGGAUGGUGAGAUGAGAAAGAGAUCAAUGCGGGAGUAGGUGUGAUGGGGGGGCGAGUAGAACGUGUAGUCGCGGUCCGUUGGGUGUUGAGAUCUCCAUAUGUCUAUGAGGCCCGUUUGGGUUAGGAAGUCGGCCAACAAUUUGUCCGCUCUGGAGGGAUGGAUGGGUUGCUGAGUGUGGGGGGAGUAGCGUUGUCUGUCUAUGGAUGGGGAGAUUGUGGCGUUGAAGUCCCCCCCUAUUAUUCUUUGGUAGCUAGGAUGUUGGCUGAGGUGAGCUUGUAUUGUCUGCCAAAAUUGUGGGUCUGGAGUCGUCGGUGCAUAUAUGGAGGUCAGAGCUUUUUUUGUGGGCCCAAUAGUGCCUGUUGCUGUUAUAUAUCACCCUUGUGGGUCUUUGUGGACGUCUUUAAGGUGUAUAGGGAAGUUUUUUUUCAGUAAAAUUGUCACCCCGUUAUGUUUGCCUGUAUGUGAGUUGGCGAGGUGACAGGUUUGGUAGUGACGGCUUAGGAGAGGGAACGGGCGUGAGUGAGCGUAGUGUGUCUCUUGGAGGAAGACCACGUCUGCCCCUGACCUGUUGGCCCAGCGCAUAACCUGGUGGCGUUUCGAGGGGUGGUUGAGCCCCUUGCAGUUAAUGGAUAUACAUGUUACCUUAGCUAGCAUUGUGAUGUGAGGGGUACUGCGGUGUCGAUUGUGCCUUGGUCCUGCCCCCUGUGUUGUAGGUGGAGGCUUGGGGUUUUUGCGUCAGGUUUCUUCCCGAUUUGGAUGUGGUUCUAAGGUCUUGUGUCCCGCCAUGGUGCUCUUCGGGGGUAAACUGUGGGUACAAAGAAAAAUAACAGUGAACAUAUGUACAACUUCCUGGACUUAUUGUCUGUGCCAGGUUCGAGUUUAACGGCGUGUUGGGUAUGUCCCUUAUUUGGGACCCCGGUGCCCUGGUGUUAACUUGGGGCGUGGUGGGGGUAAGUCCUGAGGUGCGUCCCGAUCCAGGUGUGUGCAGAUUUCCACUGGGCAGUUGUAAGUUGGGGGUGGGGGGUGGUGUCCUUGGGUCAGAUGGUUACAGUUCUGUCUGGGGGGAUUGGUGGCUCCCGUGGGUUGGGGGGCCUUUCUGGGGGAGGGGUGUCAGUAUGGUCCCUCGGGCUGGGGUUCCUGAUGUCAAUGUCGGGAUCAGGGCGGUCCCGGCUGCCCUGUGUCCCUGGUGUUUGGUCAUUGGGCGCCCUCCCACCCGUCUCCCCCAAGUUGUUCCGGUGGGGUGGCAUGUAGCUUAUUGUCUGGGGGUCAGGUGGUUCAGUGUGGGUUUUUCCUAUCGUCCCCGCCCGUUCCCGCUUACUUCCUCCCUCCUCCCUCCUCCCCCUGGUUUUGCCCGCGAAAUUGGUUUGGCGUUCCCCCUGCUCCCUUACCCCCCGCUGUCUAGUCCCCGUGGUUAUGGGUGUGUUACCUCUUUUCUAAUAUGAGCCGUGCACAUUUGCAAAGUUCUCUAACUGUUAGCAUGCAUACAAGUAGACAAAUAAACAUUAGCGGCACGUAUGACCAGUGUCUCUGCGUUUAAAGAAUAUAAAGGAUAUAUGAUGGGUCGUUGAAUAGGUGCAGUCUUUGUGUUGCGACUUGCUCUUUAUUGAAGCCGUCGUUUCGGAGAGCCUUGUAGGUCUGCCCCUGGGAUGUCUGGGUUCAGAGUCGGUGCGGUGGAGUCAGGUCAUCUUUGUUCCGGUGCCUGGCGUUGCUUUUGGGCUGUUCCCCGUGUGGUGGUGUCUUUGCGGCAAUGGUUUUUCCCACAGUGGUUGUAGUGAUGGGGGUUGCCUCCGUGCAGUGGUGGUAGUGGUGUCUGGUCUUGUCGUUGGUAGACGCAGACCCAGUUUGGAGGCAAAAGCGUGCUGUUUGGAGGGGUCUGUGAGGAUGUGGGUCGUGUUGUCUCUGCGGACGAGGAGUUUGAAGGGGUGCCCCCACCUGUAGGCGAUCCCUGCUUGGGUUAGUGCCGUUGUGAGCGGUUUCAGCUCUCGACGUUUGGCUAGCGUGGUGGGUGCUAGGUCUUGAUAGAAUGCCAGUGUGGCGGCGUCCAGUUUUGGCGGGCUUUUUCUGGUCACCUCCAUAAGUGCUUCCUUGACGGAGUAGUAGUGAAGCCUCACUAUCACAUCUCUGGGGGCUGUGUGGUCUUGGCUGGGGGGCUUCAGGGCUCUGUGGGCUCUGUCCAUGGUUAGCUCUUGUGGGGUUUUGUCAGGUAAGAGGGUCAGAAAUACCUCUUGCAGCGUGGAGUGAAGUGUCUCUCCAGUGAUGGUUUCUGGAAGGCCACUGAUCUUUAUGUUGUUUCGUCUGGAUCUAUUGCUGAGGUCUUCCAGUCCAUUUUCCAGUGUUUCUGUGCGUGAUUGCAGCGUUGAAAUGGUGUCUGCCUGGGCGGUCACUGUGUCCAUAAUGUCGUCCACUCUGUGCUCCACUUGCCCUGUCCGCUCCCCCAGUUCUGUAAUUUCUGCCUUUAGGCUCUGGAGCUGUUUCUCCAAUUCUGCAGCCAUGUGAUGUUUUAUGUCGGCUGCUGCCUCUUUAAGCAGCCGCUGGAGGUCGGCUUUCGUCAGCGGUGCUGACUCCGGAGCUGGGGGCUCGCUGUGCUCCGAGUCAGAAUUUUCAGAAUUUCAGAAUUUUCUUACCCACAUGGCGCCGGGUCUCCUUGCACUCGGAAGUGUGAGGCGACCGACGGCUGUGUUUCCCGGUGUUUCCGGCUGCCGCCCAUUGCUGUGGGGUACCCGGUAGGUGAGAGGGUUGGUUGGUGGGGAUUGCCGCUCUGCCAGUGCGCUGUGAGUUGCUCUGAUGUGCCUGGGUCUCGGGAGCUAUCGGCUUAUGCAGCCAUCUUGGUUCCCGGCCAGGCUCUGCCCCCCUUUCAUUUUUAUUUUUAAAUCCAACCAUGCAGAAUUUGGGAUUUUUUUUAUCUAGCUCUAUUUUGCUUUCAAUUUAUCUAUUGUUUCCCAAGUAACCAUAUGAUGUUGUUUAGCAAAUAUAUACUACUAUGGAACAUGUAAAGACUGCUAGCAUGAUCUUGAACUCACACAUACCACUAGUGAAGUGGUUGACUGAGCAUGAUGUGAGGUGCAGUGCAGAAUAGCUGGAGUUUCAAAGUUGAUAUGACUGUUAUUGACGGAUCAACCAAGCCAAUGCUUUUAAUAGAGAUACAAUGAAUUUUGACCAGCUGAAAUCAAGCCAGACAAAGAGUAGAUAAUAGACUCUGCUGCCAGGUAUCAGAGAUGAUUAGGCGGUGUCCUCGCUAUGUACACACAGAAUAGACAGCCGUCACUUGCAAUCACACAAAACAAAAAUGCAAAAGUUGCACAAAAUUGACAUAGCCAGCCUGGAACUUUCUAUCUGGACUGGCUGAUGACAGCUGCUGGAGGUGGAGUUACAUCCUGCUAGAAGAAUGAAAAUAUAUAAGUAUUGGCACAGUUUUAAGCAGUCCUUGCACUAUAACCACUCUAACCAGCAGAAGUGAUUGUAGUGCUUAGAGUAACCCUUUAAUGAGUACAUCAUGAGUUAGGCCUGGUUUUAGGACUUUGGUUGUAACACUGGGCAGUAAUAUUGUUCAUGAUAUUUGUGUCGUGAAUGCUGUGAAAGAUGCCUUGCUAUUGCGACUGAAUAUCAGAAACCAUUUGCUCAAUCUUAUCUGCAGAUGUGAGACUGGGCAUCACCAUGAAUACCUCUGUAAAGCAUAAACAGAUUGGCUUGUGUCUACUUCUCAAUCUCUUCUAAGUAAACUUUGAGAGAAGUACUGGAUCUCUUGUGUCUGGAGCAAAUUACAUAGUUGUGUAAGAUCUGUUGGUUGUAUAUUGUUUGUGUAGCAGCGAUGACUAGACAGACCUUGUUUCUAAUGAUGAGUCCCUGCCAAAUGUUGACAUUAGUUCACCAGCUGCUCUGAGGAGUUGACUCAUCGGUUGCUCAUUGGAUGCUAAAGUUUUUGGCCAAUUAGAAUAAAUUCAGAAUUCAUAUAAUACGCAUAUUUUCAAAUCAGAAUAUAUCGAAAGUUUUAGCUAAAGCAAUAGAGAUAAUUAGAAAUAUUAAUGAGGUAGUUAAUUUCCCCCAGAAGACUAAAUGGGAAAACGAUCUGAAGUGUUCCUUAGAACAAGAAGAUUGGUGUAAAGCUAUAAAUAAUACUCGUCGACAGGUCCAAUGUUUAAAUUUAUUAGAAACUUACUACAAGGUUAUGUAUAGAUGGUAUUUGGUUCCUAGCAAGCUUUCUCAGAUGUACCCUGGAGUCACCUCUAGAUGUUGGAGAUGUGAUAAAGAGGAGGGUUCAUUUCUCCACAUUUGGUGGAGUUGUUCAAAUAUUCAGACCUCUAUCAAGAGAACGAUAGGAUUUAUUAAAGAUAAUACUGGAAUAGAAUUAGAAAAGAAACCAGAGGUAGUCUUGUUACAUAUGCAUUGGCCGAAUAUGUCAUAUACAAAUAGUUGUUUUAUAAUUCAUUGUCUUGUUGCAUUUAAAAUUGUUCUAGCACGGAACUGGAAAUCUAAUCAAGCAGCUUACUGGGAUGCCAUUAAAGAUCAAAUCAUCCUUCAGAUGAGGAUGGAAAGAGAUCUAAGUAUACCAUAUUUGAAUUCCCCAAAGAGAAGGGAUCUAUGGCAAAGAUGGGUUAAUACAAUAGAACCUACUAUAUAAAUUAAACAGAUAACCAUUAGAUCCGGUAAUGCUUGAGGAGUAAGAGUCCUGAGCUAAGACAUAUUUUUAUAAUAGCCCGAUCCCGCAGAUAACAGUGUAAUUUGUCUGUAUAUUGUGAAUGUCUUAAUGGUGUAAUAGAUGUUAUGUGAUUUGUGGUGUUGUGUUGAUAUAUGUAUAUAUGUAAGAAAUUGAAUAAAAGAAUUUACUAAAAAAAAAAAAAGAAUAAAUUCAGAAUUCUAAUAUUGGCCAAUGAUCAGAAAAUGUCCAUAUAAAAAUAUACUAAUGACAGUGUGGAGCUUGUUAUAAAGUAAAGACAUUGUGGAUCAAUAUACUAGGCAUGUUGGUGUGUGUGUGUGUAUAUACCUUUUAAAUACUCCAAUUGUGUUCUUUACAUUACGAUCUAACGAUCUUCACGCAUUACUGUCUUUUCAAACAAAUGUUCAUUGUCUCUCUGCCAGAAUUGCUUUGUUAUAGAACAUCUAGAAAGUAUACAGCAACACUACUAAAAAGUGAUUAAAAUACUAUCUCCAUGCGCGAAACUCCUUGUGUUUUAUGUCUUUCCCAGUAAUCCAUCUGUCAAAACAUGUGAAUGCAUUAUUCGACAACAUGUGUUAGAUGACACUGAUUCUGGGAAUCACUUUUCCUGAGCAGACAGGCAGAAUUUCCCAAACAACACGGUGUUUCUCAAUCUACAAAGACAACUCCUUACUGGUACUCUUCCCCACAAAAUGUCAUUAACAUAUGAUAUGUGUACUGAAAUAGCAUGCGUGCUCCUUCAAAAACACUCUAUGAAUACACAUACUAUGGAAUCAGUCAUUGCUAUAAUAGCAACAGCCUGUUUGUAAAAUAGGAGCAGAUAGCAAGUCAUUAGUCAUAAUCAUAUCAUAUCUUCUAGUAGUUCUAAGACAAUUUUUUAUAAUUACUUAGAAUAAAAUAUUACAUGUAGCAUAAUAUCACUCUCCUCGGUACUGUCUGUCAGGGCAGCUCUGAGCGAGCAGUAUGAGAGAUGAGUGGAUAAAGGAUGAGGUUAUAACAUGUCCCCUCUCUCUACGCUCGUAUUGUGUGCUGUGUGCUCUGACAGCCAAGACAGAGAAGCACAGAGAGUGCUCCACCACAAACACGCAGGGUCGUUUUACAAUAUGGGGCAGUGUAUAGGUGUGAGAGGAGUGCUGCGUGCUCGCAAACUGGGCCACAGUCCACCCCCCCUUUAUUAGUAUACUAGUUAUUACAUAUUACAUAUAAUAAGAAUUAUAAAAAAACAGCCUGCACUCACAGUCCUAUCACAAGCCGAACCCAAGGCCGCUAACGGCACACCCUUGUGGAACUGUUACGAGUUCCCUGCCGACCCGCAACCAUGGGUGCAAGAAUGAGUCAUAGGCCACGUUUCCUAGUACUGGUGCCAUUGUUUUGACAUUCUUCGGCCAAACAUUAUACCUUGUACGUAUGCAAAAGUAGUGUAAACUGUAUGCCAUAUUAAAUAUAGGUGACACGGACUGUACUGUUCACUUAUGUUAUGUUAAAAAGUACUUAAAACAAAACAAGAAAAGGGACACUAUAGGCACACGUACCACUUCCUCGCAAUAAAGUGGUCUGGGUGCUCUGUCCCUGUACCAUACAAUGUAAAUUUAUUUUAGAUAUUUUGAGGAUUAGGAGUGCCUCUAGUAUCUGCAUGAGGACGUCCAGCAUCUUCAAAAUCCCCAUAGGACACCUUCCCAUGUGCAAGUUCUAUUGUGCAAAUGGCACUCGCUGCACAUGUUCAUUAGGUCUUCCACUGGUGUGAUGUCAAGGCAGAUCGUAUUUUUAUCCUGUAAUGCAUGGGGUGACUAAUGCCAUGCAGUUUGGGGACCUCUAAUCUCAAUUCAGCACUGGAACAUGUGUGUCUUGACCUGCUCAAGGCUAGUCAGUUACUCUCCAUUAUAACUCCCAACAUGGUGAGGUAUGAAGUCAGGACAGGGGAUGGAGGGACCUAUAUGGGGCAUGCCAGUGAUGUGACUUGCAUCACAGGCAAUGCUCAAAGGGGUGAGCACAUCCAAAAACUGGACAGGCCAAAAGUGGGACAGGACUCAGAAAUUAGGACUGUCUUAUUAAACCCACUUAAUUCAGCCAUUCUCCUAAUAUUAGGUUAAGUAACUCCCACCAAUAUAAGGCACCCUGCAUAUCUGUGAGUAUUCCUCCUGUCUAUCUAAAUACCUUUUCCCCUAUCCUAAAAGCUCACGCCUCAUAUAUCCUUUUCAGAUGUACAGGGUGGUGUUUUUUCUUGGUUUAUAAUGAAAAUAAGAGUAAAAAACUAGGAAAAUCUCCCGUAAGUCAUACCCACCCCCUUCUUUACCUCUGCUGUACUACUCUGGCAUUUUUAUAAUGCUACGAAAGCUCUUGAGAAAUAAGCAAAUAAAUUGUGUCUGGCAUUAGAGACGCAGGUUCUGUGUUGCUGGACGUAAGACUGUGUUUGUGAGAUGUGCUGGUAGAAGACUAAAUUAUAUCACAUUUACUAAAUUCUAUCAUAUUAGAAGGAAGAUGCGCACUCAGAUUCCAAUAACCACAGGGUGCUUAGCCGGAGGAGGACAGCAAAUCCCUUGUAUCAGAUAAAUCCAAAUAGAAGCUUCAGGCACUCACUGGGUCCACAUGCAAAGCAGUUUUAUUGGAUCAUAAAGCAAGGAGCAACGUUUCAACAUAAAGAUCUUUGUCAGCUGUGUCUGUAAUUAGAGACCCAGGUCUUGUGCUUCUGUGCAUCAGACUGUAUUUGUGAGAUGUGCUGCUAGAUCAAUAAAUGAUAUCAUAUGACAUGUCACUAUUAACAUAUAAGAUCCUCUGCUUUUCUUUAACCUUUUUUUGUGUGUUUUGUGAAUUAAAACAGUUUUGGUUUUUCCUGUUACAGACAGGAUUUUUGUGUAUGUGUGUGUGAAUCAUAAUAAGUAACUUCUUUCUUUCACUUGUCCCAUCACUGCUCAGGCAUUUAUAAUCCAAGACUUGUCCUAAUGCUUAUUUCCUACCAUUAUAUAUGGUGGUAGUUUGUUCGGGUCUAGAACCUCUAUUUUUCCAGGCAGUUAUGAAGGUCUUGCUAAGAGAAAGGUGGUACAAAGUUCUAAAGUUAGGACAUCGGCAGCCAUAAUGGAAACCACAUAGCUCAAACACAAAAUGUCAAACAGUUUUCACAACUUCAUUUACAGCAAGCAGUUUUGUCCCCUCACCACACUUUAUACUAUUUUCUCCCAUACUAAAUCUUCUUUCAUUUCUUUGGGUUUCAAAACUGGAUUGAAAAAAUUUGGUCCUUAAGGGGUUAAAUAAACAGGGGUUGAGCUUGGCUGUGUGUCUAGGCACUUUUUAUCUUGACUGCAUUUAUAGUUCUUAAAUUUGUUUUACAUAUACAAAUUGUUGUUCUAUUUAGGAAUAUAUCUGGUGCCUCAUUGGAAACGUGAGGUCACCUGCAGAAUUGGUGACACAAUCAUCUGCAGCCUGCAUGGUGAGUUAGCCAUCAGUCCUAGCCUUGUCCGACCGUGAAUUGAGACAUUCCUGACAUAUAUGGCAGGAGACACAGCUGAGCCCUCACUAUGCAAAUUUGAAAAAAUAAAGACUACAAAAUAAUAUACAUGACUGUAAGAAAUAGGGAUUACGCAGCUAUAUUGCAUGACAGAAGCUGUUUACACCACUCUGCCCCUCGUGUGGUUAAAAAUUCACAAAUGCACGUUUAAACAGCAAUUUUAGAGCACAGUUGUAAAAAUUGUGCAAUCACCAUGGAAACUAAUGACAUGUUCCUGGUGAUUACCAGAUUUAAAUCUUUGCCCUAAAAAUGCCCCUUUUUUAAUAAUGCAGAAAUGUGAUUAUUGCUUCCCUUUUAAUCUUGGUAAAAUGCUAACAUACAAAUCACCCUCUCUUCUCCUUUCUGUGCUGAUGCAGACUCAUUGGAAUACAUGUCCCGUAGAGCAUUGUUCUAUAAAUCUACAAUGUCUCCUUUCUAUCGGCCUCUACAUUUCUCCUUCAGGAGUGUUUGUUGACUCCCUAUUAAUUCGGUACUUGUGCUACUUUUCACUCCCCGUCUCCUUCACGUCUCAGUCUGCCCCUCCCUGUGUCUCAGUCACUUCUAAUCUCUCAAUAUACCCUUCAUCUGCUGCGUAUACUGAGCACUCAGCCAUGCCUGCUGUCUUCCGUGUCAGGACUGUCUCAAUUCACAGCGAGGCCGACCUCCGGAACUCAUUCUUCCUCUCUUCCUCGUGGUUCUACAUUUGUUUUCAGUCUUAGGGUCUUAGGUCUUGUAUGGCAGCUGCUCUCAAACAUGCUCAGGGUUAUUUACUAAAGUGAGAAUUCAAAGUGAAUUCCAAGUUUAAGGCCUGAGUAGCUGAACUGAAAUCGCAGCUGUAUUUUCCAGUUUGGCUAUUUUGACCUUAAAUUUUAUAUUCUCUUUGAAUUCUCAGUUUAGUGAAUAGCCCUUACUGUAUCUUUAAAAAAAAAUAGGAAUUGUGUGUAGAGGGCAAGGUAAUUGCAAAUUUUAAAUAAAAAAUGGGCAAAUUGGUAAAAAAAAACCUCACAGUGUGCAACUAUAGCCUAGUUAUUUUGACCUGAAUUUAAUUCUCCUUUUAAUUCUCCUAAAUUUUCAAGUUAUAGAAAAACUCAGAAUGUAGUAUUUCUAUGUAUUUGUAGAUGACCUGUGACACUCCUUUUUUUCCUACCUUGCAGGUGUCCCUAUUUAGGGGGGGACACUCCAUAUUUUGGGAACAAAUCCCUCUGUCCCCCUUUUCUAUCCUAAAGUCCCUCUUUUCCAUGAGUUCCAUUAUGUCAAUAUUUCAUAGUGUAUAGGAGCUCUACAGUAAUAAUACUUACAGUAAUGUGUCUUUUAAACUACAAUAAAUGCUUUUAGAAAUCAGUCUGUGUAAACAAGAUACAUUGUUCUUCUUCUAAAUUACAUUUUAGUUGCAUAAAUAGAUAUUAGUAAAUCAUCUACAAUUUCUCAGAACAGCCCCACCCCUGGUCACACCCCCACUCACACCCCCACUCACACCCAAAAUAUGUGUCUCUCUUUGUCAAUUUAAUUAUUUAGUAUGCAUGUUCAUGAUUAAUUAUUACUCCCAUCAAGUCCAACAAGCAGAAAAAGCUUAACACGGAUUGAUCAUUAACAUUUUAGGAUCUGUGGACAAUAGACAAGAAAACAAGACAAAACAGGACAGACAAAAUAUCCAACCAACAAUUUUUCCAAAUGAGUAAUUUUGAUCUAAAACGUACAGCUCCCUUGCAAAAGUUUAGUAAAUAAAUAUACACGUAGUCAAUAGCCAAUAGUUUGUUCAUCCCUAGUGUUUUUGAAUGUUUUUACAUAAUUUAUUUAUUAUUUUUUAUAUACAUAUAUUAAGGGUUGUUCAGCUAAACUAGCCGUUGACAGGAAAUAACAGAAGAAUUGCAAACGAGCUGGAAAAAUAGCCGAGUUGGAUUUUUUUGAUUCGGCUAUUUUGGCAAAAAAAAUGCAAGUCCCUGGUUAGAUUCUCUGCAAUGCGCUAUUUAGUCAAUAUGCUCGUAUAAGGUUUUUAGUUUCCCAAAGUUACAAUGAUCUCAUUGAACAUUCCAUUAUUUGAAUUCCGUCUCGUUUUAUCGAAAUAGUUGGAAAAUAACAAAGCUCCGCGCGUGCAUUGGCAUUGUAAACAUGCACUUUUUUUUAUUCGUAAUAUUAAAGUCAUUAUCGUGUAAUCUUUCUUAGUUUAGCAGACAAGGUAAUACAUACAAUAUAAUGUUUGAACAGUUUUGUUUGGCUUCAAAUGUCCAUGAACCUCAAGCCGAUUUUCCUGAAUGUCACCGCUCAUAGAGUUUCAUGAGGGUCUAUAAAUAGCACGAUCUAAUUUGGAUUUCAGACUUCCUAAUAAAAACACACAACACGUAUCUUACUGCAGCUCUCUUCUGCCAUCUAGUGUUCCUGGGGAGAAUCUGCAUUUUUGAAUCGCAAUCCCGGCUACGUAACUGUGCAAUUAGGAGUUCGUUUUUCGUUACUGGUGUUUAAUUUUACCUGCAUUAACACUGAAACACUACACACAAUUUAAACGUUCUGUUUCCUCUAAUAUACUACAAGUUGCUAAGUUAUCCACUGCAAAUUGAAUACCCAUUGGAAAAAGACACCAGUUUUUUUAACCCCUUUAUAAUUUGUUUUUCUAGAUAAAACUUCUUUUUAAACAUUUUGUGGUGCAUGACGCUCCAUUAAAAAAAAAAACAAAAAAAAAAAACACAAGUCAUUCAGUUCAUCUUUUGUGUCCAUCCUCAUCAUAUGUAUAUGUAUAAACCCUACUCAAACAUAUGGGGGUUAACUAGUUGACAAAGACACUUUUCUACCAACAUUGUAUUGUAUAUUAAAUGCUCUAUAGGAAGUCAUAGAAACUAUAGCAUGCAUAAACGUAAAAUAAAACAGUACACAAAUGCACUGUGGCCCUACUGCAACCACACACAGUCGACGACCAAGGGAUGUCCAGUCCCAUGAACUCAAGUCAUACUUUCUUCCCCCCACUCCCAGAUUUCUAGCCAUUUGGCCACUAUCUCCACCAAUUCAGUAUUGUUUGCCACCAACCAUUAAUCAGGUGAGGAAGCCGCUUGACUCUUCUAGGGUCAAUGCUGGCAUCUCACAGUCUGCAUGUGCUUUGUUUUUGUUUUUUGUAGUGAGAAUGGUUUACGACCACAAAUAGCAGAGAUGUGCAGGUAUGAGUAAAUAGUUCAAUUAGUAAAUAGUUCAGAGUUUUGAGCGUAACUUGUUUAAUUAUCUAUGUUGGUAAGUGAUACCAAUGGUACAUCAACCUAAAGGUAUUAAUUCGACCUUUUCCUAAAAAUUACAAGGUUUCCAGGUUACCUUUGGAAGUAAAAGACCAAAUUUUACAUCAGAGAGAAUGAAUACAAGGUUACUUACUAAAGUGAGAAUUGUUGAGAAUUCAAAGUGAAUUUCAAAUCUAAGCCCAAAAUGGUCAGAUAAAAAAAUAAGUUCUAAGUCAACUAUGCUUCCAUUUCGGCUUCUUUGGCUUGACAUUUGAAAUUCACCGCACACUUCUCGUGCUAGACUUACCAGUCAUUGCCUAACACAUUGCGAUGCAAAGCUGUUAUAAGUACAGGGACUUAUUCACUAAACAGUGAACUGUGGUGAAUUUAUUGAGUUGCAAAUACUCGGCUGUCGUAGCUACGUUGGAUGAGAAGACUUUUUUUUUGUUUUUGUAGAGAAGUUUUUCAAAGCUACUAUUUUGGCCUUUGUUUUAGAAUUUGGUUAGGUUUACAAUUUACCACAGCUGUACGUUUACCACACUGUAACUUGCCAAGGGGCGUAAAAUACCUCAGCUGUAAAAAUUGAUAGGCCGGUGAAUUUUUCCCGUUUUGUUAUUCUCUAGACUGUAAAAUUACCAUUUCAGUUUGUAACAAUUCCCAGUUUCCGGAUUAAUCUAUAUUAAUUAAUGAUUGUGAGGUGUUUUUAGCUUUAUGAUACAUGUGUUAUAAUGAACAUUUUCUGAAAUACUAAUUAAAACACAUAUAGAUAGGUAUAACCCUCCUAGCAUCCGUUCUCAGUGUCUGUUACUGUACAUCCCAUCUAUUUUACAUUCUAUAUAAAUAUAUUUGUAUAUCCUCCCCCUCUCAAUUCGAAAGAUUAUUCUCUUUUGUAUGUGAGCACUAAACCACCACAAUUUUACAAUGCCAUCCAGCCUUGAAUGGGCCGUUGCGUAUUCAGUCGCGUUGCAAUGCAAUGAAUAGAAAGAGCUUUUCUGGUAAUGUCAGUAUACCCGAUCUGCAAAGGAAAAUUAGACAAGCUCCGACUCCGACUGCAAGGGCACUGCUAUGGCUUAUGGGUAAUGAUUAAAAAGCAUCUCAGCUGGACUAAGCUAGCAGCUGCUCCCUUUCCGCAUUCUAAUUCUCAGCUGGAUGACCAAUCACCCGAGACCACAAUUUAUUAUUUUAUUUUUUUUAGGCAAAUAAAUAUGUGUCAAAUAUAUAUAUUACAGCUACUUGUUUCUCAUUAAUUAAAUUAUUGAAUGACUUUCACAUCUUUGUUUAAUGCUUUUUUUCCCCCCUUGCAGUAACGUCUAUAAAUUUUCAUUCAACCUCGUGCCAGAAGCCGAACGUAACGCUGUGUGUAAAAUUAACUGGGACCGAAGGUUCUCAUUUCUCUUGCCCAGAGCACUGAGCAAUUUAAUAAUUAAAGAUAAGCCGCUGAUAGCGAUCCCAGUAGUUAAGAUCAUAUUGCUAGCUGUGCGAGCCUUGAUCCCCUAGAUUUUGGCACAUCUCUUGCUGCACAGAAUAGAGACACCGCACUUAGCAAGCACGAACGAAGAUACGCUUGGAAUUAAUUUAGACUCAUGAAGCCUAGACCAUUCAGCAAUGCUGUGGGUAACUGUUAUACAGCACAACGGGGUACCUCCACCUACCAAGACAGAGAAAGAAUUCUCUCUAUAAGUCAUGAAACAUCCUUUGAAUCGUUUGCGCUCAAGGUUCCAUUUCCAUUCAAGUUAACAGGCAAUAGUCUGUAUAAUCAUUUAGAGCACGGGUUGGGGCAUUGAAUGAAAAUUUGACACAGCACAUGCAGGAAUAGACAGCAAUGUACCAUUUAUUAAAUUUUAAAUCUUUUAUAUUUUAACGGCUAGCAUUGCCAGAUCACUGUGGUGGGUUUUUUUUUGUGGACACGUACAGAUUCCUCAUUCUUGUGUCCAAGGCUAGAAGGUGCUUCCCAACACUGUGUUGAAUAAUGUACUCCCAGUGGGAAAUCAAUUAACUAAUCACAGCAGCUUCUUUGAGAUCCCAGAAGUGAUUAAUGAAUUGAUUUCACACUGGGAACACAUGAAUUGCACAAAUUGCCGUGCAGCACUUUCAAUUCUUGCUCUGCAUUAUGCAGAAACAAAAACAACAAAUGUUUAUUCACUGAACACUGACUUGAAGUGAAUUGAAAAUCAUGUGACAAAAUUUCAGCUAAAACAUCUGAUUUGUAAGCAUUAUCCAAUUCAGCUACAGGCACAGUGUGGCUAUUUCUUCUUAACUAUUACAAUUUUGUUCUCAAUGCACUAGAAACAUAGAAUGUGACGGCAGAUAAGAACCAUUCGGCCCAUCUAGUCUGCCCAAUUUUCUAAAUACUUUCUGUGGCGGAACCAGCCUCGCCACUGGGCAUUGGAGAAGACUGAUUGCCGGCCUCCUGCCCUGUGACUAUGGCCCCAUGUUGAAAGGAUGUAUUUUCCCCUGCAAAGACCCAAAAGCUGGGUCUUUCGGUACUUUCCCUAUGUGAGCAGUGUUACCCAGAUAGCUAUGCCAUGGAGCCCAUUUGUAUAAUGAAAGACUAUGGGAAAGACUUUGGCUCCAUGGCAAUUGAACUGUAUGUGUGUGCUCUGAGCGCCAUUCAGUAAUAAUGUGCGCUCAGAUCUGAGCUAUCUGGGGAUAUGUUGAAUGUACCUGUUUUGUGCAAUGGCUGUACAGUUAUAUGUUUUUAUGUGUUUUAUUGUCUUUUGCUGCCAUGUGGCUAAUGGAGUUUUGCCUCUGUCCUGGAGAUAAUUGGAUUACUUCCCCAAUUAUCUCCAGGAUAGAAGACUCUGUGGAACUGGUUUUGGGCAGAAAAGCCAUGCUGCAUUUGGUCAAAUAGGACUUUUCCUUAACUUUUGAACCACUGGACCAAUAUCUAUGAUUUUGACAUAUGUUUGUAUUUGGAGUAUGCUGAUUCUGAAAAUGUAAGACAGCCACUAGUAUUAUGUGAAUGUGAUGCAUACUUUUCAAGUUAUGAAUAAUGUGGAAAAACUGUAUUUCUCUGGCUGUGAUAAUUAGAUUAACCAUUGUGUUCAGUAAUCAUAUCACAGCCAGAGGGGAAGAUUUUGUGUGGGAGUGUCGUUUUGUAAUGUACGUGUGUUAUUGGUUGUUAUGUAAAACCCUGUGGGCAGUACUAAGUUUGUGGAUUGGGAAUAAAAGAGGCUAUAUGUGCCAGUCCAGACAGUUCCUGCUUAACCCUCAAAGUGAAGUGUCGUCUCAUUAUUGGGGGAGGAUUUAUUGUAUGCUGUUCCAGUUUGACUGCUAGGAGUCCAAACCCCUCCGUAUGGUUUUUGGCCUAUUCAGCUGUUUAUAGCAUUCACAUGCUUGAGAGAAGGUAUACGCUUCUCCGGUUCGGUGAUUGUGGUGUCUGCCAGAGUGCUUGGAGUCCUCAGGAAACGCUAGGAGCAUCCUUUAACGGAGGUACCCAGUCGGGGUGCCAGGUGAUCCGUUACACUUUCAUUAGUCCCUGGCCUUAUCUUAUAGCUAGGAUAGCCUUAUGCCUAUCCCACGCAUGCUUAAACUCCUUUACUGUGUUAACCUCUACCACUUCAGCUGGAAGGCUAUUCCAGGCACUCAGUAAAAUAAUACUUACGGAUAUUAUUUUUAAACCUUUGUCCCUCUAAGUUAAGACUGUCCUCUUGUUGUGGUAGUUUUUCUUCUUUUAAAUAUAGUCUCCUCCUUUACUGUGUUGAUUCCCUUUAUGUAUUUAAAUGUUUCUAUCAUAUCCCCCCUGUCUCGUCUUUCCUCCAAGCUAUACAUGUUAAGAUCCUUUAACCUUUCCUGGUAAGUUUUAUCCCGCAAUCCAUGAACCAGUUUAGUAGCCCUUCUCUGAACCCUCUCUAAGGUAUCAAUAUCCUUCUGGAGAUACGGUCUCCAGUACUGCGUACAAUACUCCAAUACUCCACUACAAUUUGGUACUUGGUGAGUAAACACCAAGGUGAUCUGGCUACCAUAUUACUCAGCUCCUUAUACAAAUCUUAUACUCUUUGAAUAGACAAUACAUGCCCAAAUAUCUUUGGAAGCACAUUACUGGGAAAUAAGGAUUUUCUUCCUCAAAACUCUAAUUUCUAUUGCAGAAGAUCUAAAAUUAUUGGAUACAUUGGCAUGUUCUUCUAGAAAUUGCUUCAAUAUAUUUGUAUGAUACAUGAUGAAACUGGCACAAAAUCUCAUAAAUAUGACAGCUGUACAAAUGCAAAAGACUGAAGUAAAACUGCGCAAGUCAAAAUUUGGAAUUUUUUUUUAUCAAUGUAUGAAUGUAUCUGAAAAUGUGGCAAAAUUUAAACUUUUUAUGAUACCUUUAUACACUAUAUGGUCAAAAUGGACAAAAAUAUUGGGAGACACCUCUUAAUUACCGAAUUCAGGUGUUUUAAUCAGACCCACUAUCACAGGUGUAUAAAAAUCAAGCACCUCUGCAUUUAUAAACAUUUGACCGCAUAAAGUCACAGAGCAAGAUCACCAAGUGCUAAGGUGCAGGGUGUGUAAAAUUAAUAUCAACACAAGAACUGUGCGGCGGGAGCUUAGUGGAAUGGGUUUCCAUGGCCGAGCAGCUGCAUGCAAGCCUCACAUCACCAAAUAUAUGUUACAACAAUUGGUGAUAAGCCGCGCCUAAUGGUGAAACUUAGUGACGUGAUAUAGAAUACCUUUAUAGUGUGGAAUACAGAUGUGUAUAUAUAUAUAUAUACACACAUACUUCAUUUUUCUGGCUUGUACAAACAAUCAUGAUAUUCAGUGAACAGAUCCUCAAGAAAAAACACAAAUAAAACAGAUAAUAGUGCACUAUGUCACUUUAAGUGUGUAUCCUAUAUAAAUAUUUAAGAGGACUAACUCACACUUUUCUGAGCUAUUUAGAGCUCUUCUUUUUUCGCUUGGACACAGUACAAUCCCCAUCUCAGGUUGUAUGAAGAUCCUCCAGAUGGUGUACAGUAGUGUUUCAAUAUAUAAACAAUAAAACAGAAGUGGAAACUUUGAUAGUGAGGUAUGUCAGUCUCAGAAGUAAAAAGGUAAAACACAGUACAAUUUAUAAAGCAAAAACUUGCUCUGGUGUUGUACAGCUUUGGUGGUAUAAUCCCCACCUGGGAUGUGCAGGAACCAGGAGAAGAGCUAUAGCUUUUAUAGCUGCAAAGGGAGGACAAACUACAUAUUAAUGUCUGUGUAUUUAGAAUGCAAUGUCAUAAAUGUUCCUGUUGGUGUAAUGGUCAGGUGUCCCAAUACGUUUGUCAAUAAAGUUUGUCUCAGGGCGGGAUUUGUCAAUAUGUGUAUGAGCCAUCUGCUUUCAGUGCCUGUAACAAGGGAAUUAGUGUGAGUGCCAAAUUAUCAAUAGAAUCUAGUUGUAACCAUUCACAUUGUACUUGACAGAAUUUGAAAGUCAUCGACCAGUCACCUUGGACUUGGGAACAUAAAAGGGGCCUUGUACAGACAAUUUUACUAACAAUAGAAUCCCCAUCCCACUUAAUUUUCCAAAUUUUUUUAAAUAAUGGCGAUAACUUAUCAAAAGCUGCUUGUAUUGCUCUGAAGGGACCAUGGUCUCUUCUAGUGUGAGCAACGUGUUACCAUUUUGAGGGUAAAGUAAAAUGGGUGUAACAUCAUAAUGAUUCUUAUAGAAUACAGCAAUUCCCUGUACCAUUCAAUAAAUAUUUAUUGUAUUAUUAUCUAUCUACAUUAGAGAUUGGUUAUAUAAUUAUUUGAUCUUCCUCCGGUUCCCCUACAGAGCUAAUUUUUAUUUCCCCUGAAAGAUUAUUCCAGGUAUCUACGAACCGUUCUGGAAAACUGAUUUACUAGGGAUUUAGCACUUAGGGUAGCUUCAAGGUAAUAUGUGCCGGCUGCACACAAUAGUGUAAUUUAGAAUUUAGUGCUUGCAUUUUACAUAGAAUCACAUUCUGAAUCUUUAUGUGAAAUGGCCUUGGCUGAAUGUUUUUUUCUGAUUCUAUAGAACUAGAGAACAGACUCAAAGGCAAACAUUCCGACACAGUUUCAGUUAAAACAAAACAUAUUUAAAUUACAUUUUCUUAACAAAGAAAAAUAGGCAUAAUAAUUGUUCAAUUAUAGAACACCAAAUUUGAAUUUAUUAUAAUCCAGAAGAAAUCAUAAAAAAUAAGCUACCUAAAGAAUUGUUCUAUGAGCGCAAUUUGUUCUUCGGCAGUGGAGACACAUUUCAUGAAUAACUGCGUGCAACAAUAAAAUAGAAAUGUAAAUCCCAUAGUGGUGAACAUAAGCCUAACAAAUGCAGACAUUGACAAUUUUAUGUUGAUUAUUUUUUGCUAAUAAUUUGUUAGUGUCGUUGCGUUACAGGAUAGGACAGAGUUAUGAGAUGCUUGUGUAAUGUCAAUAUACUGUGGUGGUUAAUUCAAUAGGACACAGACAAUGGACAGUAGGUCUUUAAAACUUGGUCUUCGGUAUCAAUGCUGCAGUCCAAUAACCUACUAACUGGCCUUCCUCUAUUCUAGUCUAAAUUGAAUUCCUCUGAUAGCCUAAUUCACCUUACCCCUGUUCUAUAUCUGCUGCCCCUCUCUGCAAGUCCCUUCACUAGCUUCCCAUUCACAGGAGACUUAAAGGGACACUCCAGGUACCCAGACCACUUCUGCCCGUUGGAGUAGUCUGGGUGCCAUCUCCCACUACUCUUAACCCUGCAACUGUAAUUAUAGCAGUUUUUUUAAUAAACUGCAAUAAUUACCUUGCAGGGUUAACUCCACCACUAGUGGCUGUCUAAUAGACAGCCACUAGGGGGCACUUCCUUGUCCACAGCACAGAAAACCUGUGCUAGAGUGUCGCUGGACGUCCUCACACUGUGUGAGGACCUCCAGCGUCGCUCAUUUCCCCAUAGGAAAACAUUGAAAAGCAUGGGGAGCUCUAAUGCGCAUUAGGUCUCCCUCGCCAGUGGGCGGGAUCAGUCUCGCCCAGCGGCCGACGCAAUCACAGGGAGGAGCGGCGGUGGAGGAAGAAGCAGCGAUGUGGGACAUGUCGCUGCCUCUGGUAAGUCACUGAAGCGGUUUUCACCCCUUUAGCAACCGGGGAUUGGGGGGUGGGAGGGAGAGGCGACUUGCAGUGCAAGGAAAACUGAUUGUUUUCCUGACAUUGGAGUUUCCCUUUAAAUUUGAAAUUCUCACCCUAACCUACAAAGCCCUUACGAAUACCACUCCCAACUACCUGUCCUCCCUAAUCAAAAAAUAUACACCAUUCACCCCCUAAGAUGUAACAGUGACCUGCUCCUUGCAUCUUCUCUUAUCACCUCUUCCCAUGCUAAACUGCAGGACUUCUCUCCUGUGGCACAAACCCUGUGGAAUGUCUGUCCCUGUGCUCUCUGACUUUGCUCUAGGUUGCCUUCCUUUAAAGCAGGGGUGCCCAAAAGGUAGAUCCCCAGUUGUUGUAGUACUAUAACUCCCAUGAUGCUUUGCAUGCAUUUAGAAUGACAAAGCAUCACGGAAGCUGUAGUUUUAAAACAUCUGGGGACUUUUUGGGCACCCCUGCUUUAAACUUUUCCUAAAGAAAAGCAAAGCGCAGUCUGGAAUACUUUUUGAACAAGUGAUAUCAGAGAAGCACAUCCAGAAAUAUUUGCACUUUUGCUGGGGGCUAGUUACAUCCCUGGCACACGUAACUUUGUUCUGGAGUGCUGAAUGUCAAUUCUGUGCAAAAAAUAUGUCUGCCAUCAGCACGCAAUGCACGAUGGCAACAAACAUAAUUAGUUUCUCCCUUGUAACUUUCCUUCUCCCUCCCUCGCUGUUGCCAUUAGCCAGUUAACAGUCCAAUCCAAGACUUCUCUAUGAGGGGCCUUUGAUUUGACCUUGUGAUGGCUGCCGUGUGCAGAACAGUUAUUGUUUAUUUUAACAUUUAUUGGGGAGGGGGUACCUAAACAAUAAGGCCCAAUAAGGUAUCAUGACUUAAAAAAAGGAGGGAACAAAGGGUUGGAGUAACCCUUUAAUAAGCUUUCCAAAUGAUUCAAUACUGUUUGGAAAAUUUUCCAGAAGAUUUAUCUACAGAAGUCACUAUUAAAAUCUAUGGGAAUUUUCUCAGAUAAAUCAUUUGGAUAGUUUUUCUAAUGGUAUUUAAUAAUUUGUAAAGCUUAUUAAAUUGAGAGCUAAAUUGGAACAACAAAACUGAAACUGAAAUGGUUGAUAUGGAAAUAAAAAUUAUAGUUAUAGUUUGACUGGUUUAGCCUAUGUUUUGUCAUUCGGGUCCAAUUCACGGAUAUAUUAGGUGUUUAGUGAAUAUCCCUGUGGGUGUAUGAGAAACAAGUUAUCACGGCAAACCCAAGGGAAAUGCAAAUAUUUAGCAUAUUCUGCAAACUCUUAACAAUAAUCUGUCAGAAUAUGGACAUUGACACAGUGACAUCUAGUGGUGGAAGUAUUAUUGCAAGGUAAAUGUUUAACCUUUUAGGUGUGUAACUAAAUGCUGCACGAACUGUGUCAUUCUCCUUUGCUUUCCAUGUGUUCGUGUCUUGAGCGAAUUGCGACCUUCAUUAAACUUGUUGAUCAGAGCUUUAUAUUCAGUCUUUGGUCUCCCUAUCUCUACUUUUGCAAAGUGCAUCCAUAGCGAUGAUCUUCAUUUAAUACUGUUAGCUAAGCCUUCCAAAAUAUGUAAUGUUUUUGGAUAUUUUUAAAUUGUUAUAUUAUUUCACACCACAAAGAAGAGUAAAGGAAUAUAUAGCUCAUACAGUAAUACAGCUAUGGUCACAGUAAAACACAUAACAUUUACAGUAUAUGCCUAAGGUUGAUAUGUGAGAGUUGUAUAGUAUAGAGGAAGUUGUGUAUACCAUUGUUUAUCCAACUGAAUAACCAAAAAACCACCAGUAGGCUCCUGAAAUGGUCAUAUAGUGAGCAGAAGCCGAGAGCAAUGAAAGGUGAGGAAUAAUAAGAGAGAGACAGAUAUAUUUUAUCCUCAGAUAAAUCAAGAUAAUAAAAAAAAGAUUGUUCUAAAGUUUGUCUUUUUGAGGAGUAGAGAUGAGUGUCCCGAUGCUUGGGAGAAUCCCAUUUCCAGAACCUAGAUCAGCCUAUACCCUUGAAGGGCAGAGCACAAUCAUGCAAUAAAAAGAAAUGUUUCAGGCAUAGUAGCCCAAUUGUAGGUAAAUGUGAUAUCCAAUUAUGGCAAUUAUGGCCCGGUGAUGGCAGGAAUGUCGUUCCUGGUAUCCUAAACUCCUGAGGAAUCUGAGGCCAGAUGAUAGUCUGUACUCAGCCUCCUCCAAUGUGGACCAUACUAGUCACCACCACCAUGUUCCAGUCCACUCUGGAGUUGGAGCUGCACACUGGGUACUUGGCAGUGGAUUCUGAGGUGAGUUGUUAUGAGGUAACUGGUCUGCAUCCGCAAAGCAGAUUGUUGCAAUCGUGUAGUCAGCUUCAACCAAAAGUCCGUGAAGAUUUUGUGUAGCUUGGACAUAGUAAGGGAUUUCUCACUGUAAGGAUGGGAGGCACAUGCAGUAUCCGCCAUGUUGAAUGGGAAGCAGCACUGUUUGGGAGUCCUCAAAGGUGUAGACCGGGAUCACCCCCGCCAGUCCAAGGUAUGUGGGGGGUGUGGAGGAACACUUAAGCUAACAGCUUGGCUUGCUUCAGGAGAGAGAUUGGCUCCUCUCCUUGGGGCAGACCAGGCCUCAAAUCAAACGAUCAGUUCUCUGGGAUUGUGUCCACAGAAUUAGGAAUCACUUAUGGUGAGCCCUGCUUAGGUUACAGAACCUUAGACGUUCAAAGGAAUCGCAGAUGAGGUAAAAAUCAGCUGGGUAACCGUGAAUAGCUCUGUAAGAUUCUGGUAUGGUUAGUGUUAUGGGUAGAGUCAUAGAGUUAGCUUUGAAGUAGUGUUACGGGUAGGUUUUGAGUUAGGUUAAGGCUUAUUAGGGGCAGGGAUAGGGUUAGAAGUAAGGUUUGGGUUUUUGGUAAAGGUAGAGUAAGAGUUAGAUAUAAAGGUAGGGGUAAUUUUAGAGGUAGAAUUUGGAUUAGAAUUAGAAGUUAAGUAAUGGGUAAGAUAGGGGAAUAGGCGUAUUGUUAAGGAUAAGUGAUAUUGUUAGGGGCAGGGUUAAUGUUAAGAAUUGGUUUAGGAUUGCACUUCUGUUAAUGUUUGUGAUAGGGCAGAUGUUAGCAUUUAGGAGUAGGAUUGUAGCUAGGAUGGGCUUGGGAUAGGGUUAGGAUAACAUCUAGGAGUAGGAUUGUAGCUAGGAUGGGCUUGGGAUAGGGUUAGGAUAACAUCUAGGAGUAGGAUUGUAGCUAGGAUGGGCUUGGGGUAGGGUUAGGAAUUGGUUAUGUCUAGUGUUGACAAUAGCAGAAGUAGUUGAAAUUGCACCCUGUCUGACCCUCUAGCUAUGCUACUGGAGAAUAUUACAGUUUAUCCAAUUUCAUUAUAAAUUAAAUUACGGGUAUGCCAGAAAAGAUUUUGUGAUCCCAAUUUGUUCUGAACGCACCAUGUGUAAUGCAAAUUGUGUUUAUAUUUAAUUAAAUUGUACCAUGUGAAACCCAUCAUGUACUGAAGCAUACUGUGUGUCCCGUAGCCGCCCUGUCUUUUCUGUGUAACGUGUCUCCUGAGUACAUGCAGAUUGUGGUUCCAGAUCUUUAGGCUUUCCCAACAGAAAAAAUCAGCAGCAAUUUGCACAUCUUUGUUCCUCUAUUAUUGUACAUGCCCAACCACUUAACAAAUCCUGGCUGUGCUGUUAAACACAUCCAUUAAUGUGCUACUAUGCUCUGAAUAUGGAUGUAAGAGACGACUGAUAAAAAAGCAUCUUGCAGCUGUUCGUUUUGGUUAAAUCUUUUGCAGUUUAUUGUCUCGGAGGUCGUUAUUUGCGUCUUUUGUUACAGGAUAGUGACACCAAGUGGCAUGUUUACAAGGCAGUUGCAGCACCAAUCAGAAGGAAUUGUUGUAAUACAGAUUUCUAAUAAUGGGUAAUGUCUAAGAUACCAGCUGUUGUGAACUAAAACUCUCAUUACCAUUAGCCAUUUUCCAUUACACUCAUGGAUUAUUGAUGUCUAAACCAAGGUUCCCAUGAGAUACAUUUCCUAUCAAGCUCACCAAGCCAGGACACUAACGAUCAUCUGUGGGUCGGAAACCAAGGUUAUCCACCUAUGCACUAAACGAAUCUUGUCAUCUAAAGAAACCAUAGCAUCAAUACACGGAAUCUAAUGCUGGUGAUACCUAUCUUCCUGGUGUACCAGUAUCUCAGAUCCAUAAUGUAAGGCUAUGUCAGAGACACAUUCAACAAAAUAAUUAAUCCCACUCUUUUAGGUCACUGGCCCCAUCUCCCAUGACUGAACAUAUUUUUUUUACUGUUCUGAUUGAGUAGGUUUUUCAAAGUCUUUAUAUAUAAAUCUCUCUCUUGAAUGUUUUUUUUUUUUAAAUGGGAUACAGAAUAGAAAAGAGGGGAUGUACGUUUUUCAUACAGAUUGAGAUCUCAAUAACACAAUGCAACAUCUCCUAGGAGUGACUGCCUCAUUUUUAUAUUUUUUAAGCAUUCUAUAAUAUUACUAACUAGAGUGGUGUAGUAACAGUAAAGUCGUUAAACAUAAGCUAAACAUCAAGUGAAUUAUGACAAUUAUGUUACAUGUGAAACAUUACACGUUUUAGCUAAGUGUGGUAGGAUAGUAGUUUAUCAUAGCUUGCCAAGCUAAAUAUGCUGAGGACAAAAGCUGGUUGCGCAUUAGGUAUCAUGUGUGACUUGGGUGUAGUGUGCCACAUUAGGUAUAGCAAGGUAACGUAUAGUAAGAUAAAGUAGGGUAAAGCAAAGCACUGCCUGCAACUCUAAGGCAAGAUUAUUAAAGCAGUACUGCGGCGGCGUUUAUGACAGUGUGUGGUAUAAAUACAUGUUACUGUUUGUUGUUUCAAGCUAGGGCAUGGUGAAUAUUCAAUUGUCGAUUGUUUAGAUACAGGCUAGACUGAGAUUCAUUAGAGUAAAAUUAAGCAGGUUGUGUUCUAGUAGAUAAGCCACCGGCUCGGUAAGAGCGGACAAUGUGUACAUGGGGUUUGUCCCAAUUCAGUCUGUUAGCCUGGCAAUGGGGGGGGGGGGGAGUGCUUUGUCAUCUGAUUUCAGCCGAUUCCCUGUGCAUGCCAUAGUGGACAGUCCAUCCUCUGCUCGAGUGUACCGGUCCCCCUAUCCGGCGUGCAGGCUGUCAGGCUGAGCUGCAGAUGCUGUAGACUGGUUGUCAGCAUUUUGCAGUGUGGCAGAUCUGAGGCUCUGCAGCUCCGGGCUGUAAGGCGGGCCCCUGCCCUUGGUCUGUGGGUCUUCCUUCUCCGAUUAACGGGAUUGUGGGUCUUUAUGGGCAGUGUGGUGGUGGUCAGCCGAGGAUCUUGGGGUAAGGAGAGGGGUUGCAUGCGGUGGGGGGGUUUGCGUGGGGCCGGCACCAUGUGGCCACAGACUCGGUACCUCUCGGGGCCGAGUCUUUCCCAUUGUGGGCGCAGUGGAAGGUCCUGAUGGUCGUCCGCCGCCAGCGGCGGGUGUCCUUCCCGCGGUGUGGUUGGUGUUCUGGAGGGAACCUCCUAGUAACCCCCAGCCUGGAUGGGCAUUCCGCCCUCGUGGUAAGAUGGCUUUGCCCGGGGUCUGCUCCGCCCGCCCCACAACUACUGCCAUCUCCUCAACCUUGUAGUGAGAAGGGGUUUGUUGGGCCUCCCUUCGCUCCAGUUUUUCUCAGGAUCGUUGGAGCAGGGCCUCCAGACGCUCAUGAAGGGGCCGCGACGGUGCGGGUUCAGUCGCAUGGCCUGCAGCCGCCCCUUUACUAGCAGCGGGUUGCUAGUUUGUUGCUUGUCCUAGGCUGUUGCUUUCAUUUGUAGUCCAAGUCGGUUUGGGAUUGGGAUAAUCCCCAACGGUCCUGGGGGGGGGGAAGCCCAAUACUUCGGGUGCCGCUUGUUUUGAUGAGCCGGGAGAGCGGCCGUCUCUCCCCUGCUCUGUGCGGUGUAGGCCCCAAGCCUCUGUUCCGGGAGUUCUGUGGGUAUUUGAGCUUGCGAGGUGUCCCCCAGUUCCCAAGUCUCCAUAGAGCACAGUGAGGAAGGUAGGGGUUCAGGGUUGGGUGUUUUACCCCCGGUUUUCGGCAAAAAUCGAGUCCAGGCUCGGGAGCUCACAGAAAGCAUGUCUGCUCGGCUCCCCGGUCAGGCCCCGCCCCCCUCUUGAAUGGUUUUGAGCAAUCAUUUUCACAUUAUUUUUUCUUAAUAGGUAAACUACAUUAUGUGCAAAAAGUACACUUUCUAAAGCAAAUAUUCAAAUAUUUAUAUUUAAAUUCGGUAAAGGUGCUUUAGAAUAUAAAAGUAUAUAUAUAUACAAACAAAUAAAAGGCAGACAGAAAUAUAAUACCUGUUUUUUUAUUUGUUUUUUCUUUAUCCCUAAUUUGUUCUUGCAUUUCAGAUGACCCUCGUUGGAGUCAUAUCAACCUGAGCACUCAGAAUGUCAAUAUUCCGAGCUAGUUCUCUCCACCAUGGCUUGGUUAGAAUUUACUGAAUUCAUGGAACCCACAGGACAGUCAACUUCGGGAUAUCAAUAUUUAAAAUGCUAAACCAGCAGAUAUCACUAGACCACAUAUUUUGUGUUUGAUCUAUCCCAGAACCUCAAGUUUAUGAGAUGCAUUAUUAUUAUAAUUAUUAUUAUUUAUAAAGCGCCAACAAAUUCCUUAGCUUUUAGUUUUUUAUUGAGAACGUUACAGUACACAGUCAUGAAUAGCUGUAUUGAUGUUAUUGGUAUGUUCCUUUUUCUUAUUCAAAAUAUUGGUUCUGUCAGUGUAAAAAAUUUAAAUAUACAGUAAGCAUACUCACAUGCAGACACAGACAAUCUCACUAACAUAAGCACGCAAGCUCAUUGAUACACAGGCUCAGGCAGACAGACAAUCUCAUUGAUACACAUAAGCUCAUUGACAUAAAAACACAAGCUCACUGAUACACACAAAUAGGCUCGCUGACAGACAAUCUCUCUGACACGCACCGACAAGCUUGUCUUGCGUCUGGGGAUCUACCAUUUGAGCACCCCUGAUUUAGACCUACUGAGGGUUUAACCUAACACGAACAGAAACUAUUGAAUAUAUUUAGCUGCUCGUUAAGCAUUAGCUCUAGGGUGGCUUAGUCCUGACCCACCAGCAAUCCCCCAGGUUAUAGUCAAAGUGAAAGAAUACUACUUGAUGGCUAAACUGAC